rnacentral:piRNA from 1 species
UAAAGUGCUGAAAGCCUUCUGAUUCUGAGU